AAAAACUCUAAAGCGCCUGAACUAAUUCAAGGUAGAUGAAUUAGUUGACGAGGAGGAGGUUUAUCGAAAUGUUCGGCGGAUACCUCCCGGUUGCGAUGCACAACCGUCAGUUCUUCUUUAAAACAUUAGAGGCAACUCGGUGCACAAAGAGAAGAAAUUGCACACC
rnacentral:ncRNA from 2 species